UGGAGCAGGAAUGUCAAACUUCUGGUGCAUAGCUGGAAGGCUGUGAAAAAAUAUAUUCGAGUAACUAUUUCUUUUAACAAGAGACAUGAGAACAAGAGUUCGUGUUAGUGCAGAUUGUGGUACCCAAGGAUGUGCACCAUAGACCGGCAAGAGAAUCAAGAUGCCUCUGUACCAUGUAAGCGGGACAGGAAAGGAGCGAGGACGAGACGUUCCCGUGAUACCUUUCUAAAAGAAGUGAAUGCUUUUGUUAAG